rnacentral:rRNA from 1 species
UGGGGAAUAUUGCGCAAUGGGGGCAACCCUGACGCAGCCAUGCCGCGUGAAUGAAGAAGGCCUUCGGGUUGUAAAGUUCUUUCGGUAUUGAGGAAGGUUGAUGUGUUAAUAGCACAUCAAAUUGACGUUAAAUACAGAAGAAGCACCGGCUAACUCCGUGCCAGCAGCCGCGGUAAUACGGAGGGUGCGAGCGUUAAUCGGAAUAACUGGGCGUAAAGGGCACGCAGGCGGUUAUUUAAGUGAGGUGUGAAAGCCCCGGGCUUAACCUGGGAAUUGCAUUUCAGACUGGGUAACUAGAGUACUUUAGGGAGGGGUAGAAUUCCACGUGUAGCGGUGAAAUGCGUAGAGAUGUGGAGGAAUACCGAAGGCGAAGGCAGCCCCUUGGGAAUGUACUGACGCUCAUGUGCGAAAGCGUGGGGAGCAAACAGGAUUAGAUACCCUGGUAGUCCACGCUGUAAACGCUGUCGAUUUGGGGGUUGGGGUUUAACUCUGGCGCCCGUAGCUAACGUGAUAAAUCGACCGCCUGGGGAGUACGGCCGCAAGGUUA